CCACUUUGUGAUUCAUGACUGGGGUGAAGUCGUAACAAGGUAACCGUAGGGGAACCUGCGGUUGGAUCACCUCCUUACCU
rnacentral:rRNA from 1 species